rnacentral:rRNA from 1 species
UUCCGGUUGAUCCUGCCGGAGGCCACUGCUAUGGGGGUCCGACUAAGCCAUGCGAGUCAUGGGGCGCCUUGCGCGCACCGGCGGACGGCUCAGUAACACGUCGGUAACCUACCCUCGGGAGGGGGAUAACCCCGGGAAACUGGGGCUAAUCCCCAUAGGCCUGAGGUACUGGAAGGUCCUCAGGCCGAAAGGGGCUCUGCCCGCCCGAGGAUGGGCCGGCGGCCGAUUAGGUAGUUGGUGGGGUAACGGCCCACCAAGCCGAAGAUCGGUACGGGCCAUGAGAGUGGGAGCCCGGAGAUGGACACUGAGACACGGGUCCAGGCCCUACGGGGCGCAGUCAGGCGCGAAACCUCCNCAAUGCGGGCAACCGCGACGGGGGGACCCCCAGUGCCGUGGCAUCGCCACGGCUUUUCCGGAGUGUAAAAAGCUCCGGGAAUAAGGGCUGGGCAAGG